rnacentral:rRNA from 1 species
AGCGUAUAUUAAAGUUGUUGCAGUUAAAAAGCUCGUAGUUGAAUUUCGGGAUCAAUAUGUCGGUCGUGCCUUCGGUACGUACUGGCAUCAUUGGUUUCUCCCUUCUGACAAACCAUGAUGUCAUUAAUUUGGUGUUAUGGGGAGUUAGGACUGUUACUUUGAAAAAAUUAGAGUGUUUAAAGCAGGCAUUAGCUUGAAUACAUUAGCAUGGAAUAAUGAAAUAGGACGUUUGACCCUAUUUUGUUGGUUUCUAGGAUCGACGUAAUGAUUAAUAGGGAUAGUUGGGGGCAUUAGUAUUCAAUUGUCAGAGGUGAAAUUCUUGGAUUUAUUGAAGACUAACUACUGCGAAAGCAUUUGCCAAGGAUGUUUUCAUUAAUCAAGAACGAAAGUUAGGGGAUCGAAGACGAUCAGAUACCGUCGUAGUCUUAACCAUAAACUAUGCCGACUAGGGAUCGGAUGAUGUUAAUUUUUUAAUGACUC